CCUACGGGUGGCAGCGGUGAGGAAUAUUGGUCAAUGGGCGCGAGCCUGAACCAGCCAAGUAGCGUGAAGGAUGACUGCCCUACGGGUUGUAAACUUCUUUUAUACAGGAAUAAAGUGCGGCACGUGUGCCUUUUUGUAUGUAUUUUAUGAAUAAGGAUCGGCUAACUCCGUGCCAGCAGCCGCGGUAAUACGGAGGAUCCGAGCGUUAUCCGGAUUUAUUGGGUUUAAAGGGUGCGUAGAUGGGUUGUUAAGUCAGUUGUGAAAGUUUGCGGCUCAACCGUAAAAUUGCAAUUGAUACUGGCAGCCUUGAGUACAGUUGAGGUAGGCGGAAUUCGUGGUGUAGCGGUGAAAUGCUGAGAUAUCACGAAGAACGCCGAUUGCGAAGGCAGCUUACUAAACUGCCACUGACAUUGAUGCUCGAAAGUGUGGGUAUCAAACAGGAUUAGAUACCCCUGUAGUC
rnacentral:rRNA from 1 species